UUUGUCUGUGUUCUUUGUAUUCUGGGUAUUAAUCCUUUGCCUGCAAAAGUUUCCCCCAGGCUGUCACCAAGCGCGUUUCUUUGCUGGUUCAGAACUGGCAGGUCUGAGCGUCCCGCCCUGCGAUCCUAAGCUGGCCGCCCAGGCUUUGUUCCUGACCUCCUGGUGUGCUUUUUAAAAUCCAUUUCUGUGAAUGUGGAAAAGACUUUCUUUUUCUUCCCCAGGUUGGGCUGGCGGUUGGUCCAGCAUCUCCUGCCGGAGAGGCCUGUGAUUUUCCCAGAACUUUAAACACUAAGCUGAAGCGGGUCUGAGUGUGUGUGUCCCAGACCUACCCCAGCUUCUAUCCCUCCACGCUUCCUAUUACUUCAUCAUAUGUGUUGACGCCUGGUACAGUCAUUUCCACCUGUAUGCAUUUGUUGUGCAUUUUAACCAAAGUUAUGCAUGUCCGUGGUUUAAGGAAUCCAGUGGUUCUUGGGGGUUUUCCAGGAAAAGCAGCUGUCUCAGGACCACCUUCCCGGCAGGCAGUUUCCAAGUCAGGGCUCAUCCCAGCCCCUCCUGUGAACGCCUCUGCUUUCACUGCUGCAUUCCUCAGCCAGGGCGUAUCCCUGCAGGAUGAGGAACUAGCAGCUCCCACAGACCCACACCUACUUCUUGGUCCCUCUAUCUUUCUUCCUUUUUUUUUUUUUCCAAUUUUACUGGUCUAGUUGAUUUACAGUGUUGUGUUAAUUUCUGCUGUACAGCGAAGUGACUCAGUUAUACGUAUAUAUAUUCUUUUUCAUAUUCUUUUCUAUUCUGGUUUAUCACGGGAUACUGAAUACAGUUCCCUGUGCUCUACAGUAGGACCUUGUUGUUUAUCCAUCCUACGUAUAAUAGUUUGCACCUGUGAACCCCAAACUCCCCAUACUUCCCUCCCCCACCCCUACCCCCUUGGCAACCACAAGUCUGUUCUCUAUGUCUGUGAGUCUGUUUCUGUUUUGUAGAUAAGCUCUUUUGUGUCAUAUUUUAGAUUCCACAUAUAAGUGAUAUCAUAUGGUAUUUGUUUUUCUGACUUACUUCACUUAGUAUGAUAAUCUCUAGGUCCAUCCAUGUUGCUGCAAAUGGCAUUACUUCAUUCUUUUGAAUGGCUGAGUAAUAGUCCAUUUUAUCUCUCUCUCUAUAAAUACAUAUGUAUAUAUGUAAAGAAGAUGUGGGACAUAUAUACAAUGGAAUAUAUACCCGCCACAUCUUCUUUCUCCAUUCAUCUGUCGAUGGACAUUUAGGUUGCUUCCAUGGCUUGGCUAUGCACACGGGGUGCAUGUAUCUUUUUGAAUUAUAGUUUUGUCUGAGUAUAUGCCCAGGAAUGGAACUGCUGGAUCAUAUGGCAACUCUAUUUUUAGUUUUUUGAGGAACCUCCAUACUGUUCUCCACAGUGGCUAUACCAAUUUACAUUCCCAUCAACAGUGUAGGAGGGUUCCCUUUUCUCCACACCCUCUCCAGCAUUUAUUAUUUGUAGACUUUUCUUUUUUAAUAAUUUAUUUAUUAUUUAUGGCUGCAUUGGGUUUUCGUUGCUGUGCGUGGGCUUUCUCUAGUUGCGACGAGCGGGGGCUACUCUUCGUUGCGGUGCGCGGGCUUCUCAUUGCAGUGGCUUCUCUUGUUGCAGAGCCUGGGCUCUAGGCACGCAGGCUUCCGUAGCUGUAACUUGCGGGCUCUAGAGCGCAGGCUCAGUAGUUGUGGCGGACGGGCUUAGUUGCUCCGCGGCAUGUGGGACUUUCCCGGACCAGGGCUCAAACCCGUGUCCCCUGCACUGGCAGGCGGAUUCUUAACCACUGCGUCACCAGGGAAGUCCCUAUUUGUAGACUUUUUAAUGAUGGCCAUUCUGACCCGUGUGAGGUGAUACCUCAUUGUAGUUUUGAUUUGCAUUUCUCUAAUAAUUAGCAAUGUUGAGUGUCUUUUCAUGUGCCUGCUGGCCAUCUGUGUGUCUUCUUUGGAGAAAUGUCUAUCUAGGUCUUCUGCCCAUUUUCCCAUUGUGUUGUUUGUUUUUUUGAUGUUGAGUUGUAUGAGCUGUUUGUAUAUUUUGGAAAUUAAGCCCUUAUCGGUCACAUCAUUUGCAAAUAUUUUCCCCCAGUCCAUAGGUUGUCUUUUUGUUUUGUUUAUGGUUUCUUUUGCUGUGCAAAAGCUUAUAAGCUUGAUUAGGUCCCAUUUGUUUAUUUUUGCUUUUAUUUCUAUUACCUUGGGAGACUGACCUAAGAAAACAUUGGUAUGAUUUAUGUCAGAGAAUGUUUUGCUUAUGUUCUCUUCUAGGAGUUUUAUGGUGUUCUCUCUUAUAUGUCUUUAAGUUAUUUUGAGUUUAUUUUUGUGUAUGGUAUGAGGGAGUGCUCUAACUUCACUGAUUUACACGCAGCUGUCCAGCUUUCCCAGCACCACUUGCUGAAGAGACUUUCUUUUCCCCAUUGUAUAAUCUUGCCUCUUUUGUCAAAGAUUAAUUGUCCAUAGGCGUGUGGGCUUAUUUCUGGUUGGCCUCUCUGUCUUUCUUUUUAAAAUUUCCGGGUCCUUCAUCUCAAUGGAUUGGUGGAGGGUUCUCCUCUCUGUAAAGGUUUGAAGCCAUGUUCACAGUUCUAAUUUUCUAGGGGGAUCCUUCCGCGCACACCCCGAAGUUCGCCACAGGUGCGUCCAAUCAUCCAGGGUUACCUACAUUCAGAUGCGCUCCCCAGAUAAAGACCCCCGGCAUCCCUGGGCCCUGACCCCACAGCCCCUCCACUCCGCAGGGACUCCAUCAGGACCACGAACGACGCUGUGGGCUGGUCUUACCCUGUCCUCUUAAAGACAUACGCGAGACAGGUCGAACACACGUGCCGUCGUGCUCUUUAAUCUUCGAGGCUGAGGACGACAGGCCCCACCUCCCUCUCUCAUUGGUGGAGGACCGAGUCCCCGCCCACCUCGGUGAUCUCAUCACCAUCCGCCUUGGCCGCAGCUGGAAGUACCGUUCGCCGCCGAGAUGCCCUUCCUGCCUGGAGGUACCUUACGGCCCUGCAAAUGCUUAUCAGUCGCUUUAACAGAUGCAUCCGCCAGCCAUCGUCACCUCUCCUCCGUCUUCCUGCCCCAUCUGCACGGUCCCCGCCGCCCGCCCCGGGUUAGGAGAGCGCCUCCGUUCUGCCUAUGGCCUGUUGGAUUCUGAUGCCUCCUUACUCCGUGACUGUUGCCUUAACAGUACCCUGGUCUCUGUUUUUUGGGCACAAUAUCUUAUCUCUCUGGGGAUUGUGAUUUCAAAGGGCAUUUUGGUGGCGGCAUCCCCAGACUGCCUGCUUUGUCCCCGUUUUUCCAGCACUUCUAUAUGAUUUGGUCCUUCCCUUUGGGGGCGGGGGGGGGGUGCGUGGAAUUCCUUGGCUGUCCUUCCACGUGGACAAGAAGGACCAGCAGCGCCUUGUGGGAUCCGAGCAGCGCCUGGUGACUGGCCGGCCUCUUUCUUGGGGUCCCCGAAAGGAGGUCUUCUUCCCCUGAGAAGCUUGCUUGGGUCUCCUGCGUGGGUGGGGUGGAGUGCCCGUCUGGCUGGUGGCAUCCCGGAGCAGAGUGCGGGAAAAGGGGCCCGACCACAGGUCGGAAGGCGGCACCUCCUUUACCCCUCCCCCAGCCCUCGCCGUCCCCCACUUUCCCAAGGUUGGGGCCUCGCGGACCCAGUUUCUCUGGUAAGGAGGGUCUGAGCUCAUUUUGUCCCGGGGCCUGGCGGUGGGAGGUAGGGAAGUUCAGACCCCUCACAGCCACCUGUGCCCCACUGCUCAUCACUGACCCCUUCUGCAGGGACUGGGUUUUUCACUGUCACAAUAUUCACAUCUGGGGGGUGGGGGGAUGGGUGCACUCCUGUCCCUGGACAACUGGCCAGGCCACCUGACCUGCCUCGGCCAGUGGUUCGUGAGCAGUCAUGAGGGCCACAGCCAAGCAAAAGCUUAAAGGUCAGGGUGUGUCUCUGCCUCCUUGCUUUUCGCUUUGCUGCAGGAUGGCCAGAGAGGGCUGUCUUCCCACCGGGCACCUGGAGGAGAACAGCAUGUGAGUGGAGCCUUGGGGAACCUGGCAGGGGGGACACGGUGCCUGUGUGAGAAAGGAACCUCAGCUGCCGACAGCCACCGUGGUUGCCGGGCUGUUUGUACCAAGCGCGGCCGGGCCGGGCUGACAGCUGCCCUCACUGAGGUGGGUACCAGCCUCACCUUCCCAUUAGAAUCUCUCACCCACUGCUGUCUCCUCUCCAGUUUCCUUUGCUCCUGUGGGUUCUCCUCUGGUUAAAAGCCCUCGGUGGUCAUUCCGGAGGGGCUUGCCGAGGGGGACGUGGCUGCAGUGACCCUGUGCCUGUUUCCCAGCCAACACUCGUGCAGACUUUACGGGCGCCCCUGACGCCCCUGAGCCCAUGCCUCUUGGGUUCUCUCGCCCCUGUUCUCUUUCAGAGCAGCUUGUGGGAGCAAACUCCCUGAGUGCCCGUGUGUUUGAAAAUGCCUUUAAUUCCAUUGUUGUGCUUGAAAGCCUGUGGCUUGGAGUAGAAUUUGAAGCGUCCCUUCACUGUCUUCAUUCUCCAGGUGUACCUGUCCCCCUGAUUUUUGUUCCUUUUCCCCCUCGUAUCCUCCCCCACCCCUCCGUCCCUUCCUUCUCUCCAUCCUUAAUUUCCUGUGGCUGCUGCCACAAACCUGGUGACUGAGAACAGCAGACACCUGUUGUCUCCCAGUUCUGGAGGCUGGAAGUCAGAAGAUCCAGGAGUGGCAGGGCUGUGUCCCCUGCAGUCUCCGGGCGAGGGUCUGUCCCAGGCUCUCCCCCUCUGCUGCCAGCCGCUCGGCCUGGAGCUGCGUCACUGCCCUGUCUGCCCAUCUCGUCACGUGGCCCCUCCGUGUCUCCCUCUUCUUUUUUUUUUUUUUUUUGGCUGCACCACACAACCUGCGGGAUCUUUGUUCCCUGACCAGGGAUCGAACCCGUGCCCCCUGCAGUGGAAGCGCAGAGUCUUAACCACUGGACCACCAAGGAAGUCUCUCCGUCUUCUUAUGAGGACAUGAGUCACUGGACUUAGGAUGUCAGUGUGACCUCAUCCUCACUUGAUCACAUCUGCAAAGUCUCCAUUUCCAAAUAAAGUCACAUUCACAUGUAUCGGGGGUUAGGCCUGAAACAUAUUUGGUGGGGGGACACCAUCAAAUCCACAGCACCCCUCUCCAUUUUGAAGAUUUGUCUUUAUCUUUAGAGUUCUGACAUUUUACUAUUAUGUGUCAGGUCAAGAUUUUCUAACCUGAAAACCACAUUCCUCUUCAGUUUCGGGGAAACUUUCCCCAGCGUGUGUGUGUGUGUGUGUGUGUGUGUGUGUGUGUGUGUGUGUGUGCGCGCGCGCGCGCGCGCGCGUGUGCGCGGAGUGCCUUCCCUCCCCCUCCCUCCCCUCUGGUCUCCUCCUGGAACUCCUGCUAGAGGGACAGUAGGCCUGGGGCAUCUCUCCUCCACGUCUCGUGACUGUGUUUUUCUGGGCUCUACAUUCUCGAGGGAUUCCUCGGCUCAGCACAUGAAUCUAUUUACUGCAGGGACACGAUUCCUUCCGCAGACGCUGCCCUCUCUGGCCUCCCUGCAUCCCAGAGUCUUCUCCGGCUGCUCCGUCAACUGUGUUUCCCAGGCUUGGGGGUGGGGGUGGGGUUCUUUCUUCAAUCGAGCUGCUGUUUCCCGCCCGUCCUGGCCUGCUUCCAGUGCCCGGUGUGCUGGCUGAGUAACAAGCCCAGAGACGUUCCCGUCCAGAUCCCUGAGAUACGCUAUUUCACACGGCCGCUGGGGCUGUGGGAUUAAACUCAGGGUCUUGAGAAGCGAGAGCUCUCUGGAUGGUCCAGGACACCCUGAGAUGGGACAGCCCUGGGAGCCCCGUGACACCUGCCAUGUCUUUGGAAGAGGGGCCGUUACGCCCAAGGAGAGGCGGCCAGGCAGGCCCCACCUACCACCCACCCAGCACGGCCUCAGCACCCUUGCCACCCACUCUCCACGAGGGCACCGCCGCCAGCUUCAGCCCACGGGGCCUGGCGAUUUCCCUCAGUGACCCACUCCCAGGGGCAGGCAGCUCCAGCCCCACCUACGCCUGCCACCCACCGUACCUGCGCGGAAUGUGCUCCUCCGACACCCCUGACGUGAGUCAGUUCGACACCAGUGUGGCUGCAAGAGGGCGCACCGUGGAGCAGAGGCCUGGGUGCCUCACCCCAGCGCCAGGCCCCGGACCCGGGGUCCCGGCACAGUCUGACACCAGCACCAGGGCCACCUUGCGACUGGGAUCCUCAGGCCGUGGGGAGCUCGGUCAGGCCAGGAAAGGGUGGCAGGGACAGAAAGCACUGUUCCUCACUGGGACCCUGGGCCCGGCAUCGCAAAGGAGAACCCAAGCUCUGGUGGCAGAAAAGCCCCCUCCAAGCGUCCGCCCCCCGCGGGAGCCCCGGCCUGAUGAGCAUGGCCUCGAGUGGAAGCCUGGGUGGUAUCCUUCUGUGCAGUUCAGGAAGGCCCACCGGCAAUCUUCCCCGCCCGCCUGUGCACCUGCCCCCGCACUGAGCCAGCUCCGUCCUGUGCAGCCACCCUGAGCCCUGCCUGGCCUGCCGCCCGUGUCCUCCGACCCCAGCACCUGGGCCAGGCAAGGGCCAGCCGCCAACACUCCAGCUGCCCGUGUCCUUCUGUUGCAGGAAGGGGGACCCCUUCCAGGGCCGGGGAUGGCUCUUGUCUAACGCUCGGAAAUGAAAUGUCCGAGGAGACAGACGUGCUGACACAGCAAGAGACGUUAUUGGGAAGGGGCGCCCGGGGGGAGAGCAGCAGGGUGAGGGGACCCAGGAGGACUGCUCUCCACGUGGCUCGUGGUCUCGGGUUUUACGGUGAUGGGGUUAGUUUCCGGGUUGCCUCUGGUCGGUCAUCUUGCUUGGCCCAUAGUCUGACUCAGGAUCCUUCCUGGUGGCGCGCGCAUCUCUCACUCAGGAUGGACUCCAGUGAGAAGGGCUCUGGGAGCUCGGGUGUCUCCCUCUUCCAGCCCCUCCCGAAUCCUCCCGGGAGUUUUGGUGGUAGCGGCAGCACCGUGUCCCUUAUGGGGACCUCCUGUUGUGAGAGAACUCAGGCAAGCGGCCUGGUCAGCGGUUCCCUACCGCUGCCUCAUCGGGCGUGCAGCCUCUAGGUGGCAGCCCUGCCGAGCCCUUGGAAGGCAGAGGGGAGACUUCCUGGCUCACAGCAUCUUCCCUGCGGUGGGGUUUCCCUCAGGCUCAGCCCCUCCCUGCAGGAGGCUCAGCUGCGCCUCCCCCCUCCAAACCUGCUGCCCACCGUUCGCUGGAUCUACUUUCCUUUUCCUUUGCUUUUGUGUUUCUAGCAUAUUCCUCUAGAACAUUAUGGACCGAGUGGUGUCCCCCCCAGAUUCAUAUGUUGAACCCCAAUGUGGUGGUGUUAGGGGAUGGGCCUUUGGAGGGUAAUUCGGGUUAGAUGAGGUCCCCACGAUGGCAUUAUCACCCUUCCAAGAGACACCAGAGGGCUCCAGCUCUCUGUCUGUCUGUCUGUCCGUCACGUGAGGACAUGGCAAAAAGGUAGCCGCCCGCCUGUAAGCCGAGAAGAGGGUUCUCCCAGGAAACAACCCUGCUGGCCUUGGCCUUGACUCGGACCCCCAGCCUCCAGAUGUGAGAAAUAGAUGUCUGUCCUCUAAGCCUCCGGGGCUGUGGGUCUCUCCUGGCAGUCGGAGCGGACUGGCGUGAGUCUGGUGCCCAGAUGUCGUCUUGACUCCUUGUUUCUGCCUCUGCCACACGCUUCCGUCACCCAAGCGAGCUGCACGCCCCCUUCCAGGCGGCUGAACUCCUACCGCCCAGGAGGGGCCAGCUGGGCUCUGAGCUGUAGGUCUGCCCCCUCCCGUGGUGCAAUCACCACCACCACCACCACCACCACCACCACCACCACCACCCCCGCGCCCGUGCCCGGGGUGACAUCGCUGACGUGCAGCACAGCCCUGGAGGGCUGCCCUGUGCUGAUGCGCUCAGGCACAGACGGAAAAGUGGAGCAAAAUGGUUAGGAAGAGCUGCGUUUCUAACAUAACUCAUUCUAAGUAUUUAUAAUUAAUUUUUUACUAAUGACGGUAACACCCCGCUCACAAAAUUCCUGAAAAUUUAAGGGCAGGCUCUUGGGAGCCGCUUGGUGUUUCUGUUUCCGGCGGAUGCUGAAUCCCCAGCCCUGGGGGGCAGGCGGCAACAGCCCCCCUCCGUCACCAUCGCCCAAGCUCUAGCCCUGGGAGUCUUCCAGCACCUUCCCAGCCUCCCUUGGCGCAGUGGCUCCCAGUGUCGCGGGGUGGGGGUGGGGGGUCCCAGCUGGGGGCACAGGUAUCCGCAGGGCCCUCUGGCCCCAGCGGCCUCGCCCUGUUGUGCCCCGGCAGCUUUCCUGGGUGAAAACAAGCACAGGCUGCUCUCCUGCUCUUCCGGGGUCCCGGGGGCGGCCUGGCUCUGGGCUCUCCUGCAGCUGUUCCUGGGCCAGGCUUCUCCAAGCCAGUUUCCCAGCACUGAUGACUCGGCUUCGGGAUCAGUGUUCCCACUGUGGCCACCUCCCGAGCAGAGGGAGGGAGGUAGGGAAGCUCGGCCUUUCCUGCCCCGAGGUGGUGGCCCUCCAGGGGGGAAGAGCACGGGGCUGGGAUACGGAAAGUCCAGGCUGACACAGUUGACCGGCCAGAGGUGACUUGAGACCACUCUCUGGGGGGAGGGCAUGGUGACCCAGGGUCCAGCCAGGGCUGCACCCAGGCCACAGCAGCACCUGGUGGUGGGAGAGCUGCCGGCUCUCCCGGGUCCCUGCCUGGGGUCCCCUGUCCGGGAGACACCGACUCAGGCCCCUCGGGCUCCCGACGCCUCCCCCUGGGCCCUGCAUCUCAGCUUCCCCUGCAGACCCCAGCAGGGAGUGCCCACCGGUUCCUUCCAGCCCCACCCAGGCAGCAAACCCAAGGGUGCAGGAGCCCCGACCUCAUACCCCUGUGCACUGUUGGGGGUUUCAGCCUUGUCUCUGCGGCGUGGCUCUCCUUCCCUGGGGCCCUGCCCCACCCUGCCCAGGCUGGGCUGCCGGGGCACUGCCUGCUUCCAGGCCCAACACAGACAUCCCAGGACUGAGACCCAGGCCACCGCUUUCAGAUUCCAAUCCAUUUCUGGACUACAGAAAUUCCUAUCAUAUCUUCGAGUCCAGCCGUUUCUCCUCCCUCUGUAUCUGUCUCUCUCUGUCUUGCCGCCUCUGUCUCUCUCCCCCAGGUGUUCAGAAAUACUCCAGCGGCGGCCGCAUCCUGGACCAACUGCCUGAGGACUGAAGAUGCUCCAGGAGGCCCUGCCAUGAACACGGGGGCUGCUGUCAGGGGAGCAGCAUCAGGACAGCGAGGUGUGGGGUGGCUGCAAGGAGGGCGCGAGGGCCCUGGACUGACCGAGGGGGCAGCCCCCAGUGGGCCGGCCCCUCCCCAGUUCCCAGGCCUGCAUCGCUGUGUGGAUCUGCUUCCUGGGCAGAAGAGGAGGCUGGACAAAGGGGAGGAGCGUGGCCCCAGGAUCAGGCCUGGCCUUCCCAGGCCGUGGGGCCCUGAUCCCUGAGUCCCGGCUGGGGUUCCCUCGAGGGACAGAACCCUGUAAGCACCCCCUUCCCAGAGCAUGGGGUGGUCACACCCUUGAGGUCUGGCACUGGACAAGGGCCCGUCGUGAGGCUGGUUAUCCCACAGCCAAGUGCACAGGCCCAGGGAGGCCGCUGGUCCGUCCCUGAAGGUGUGGUUUUUCCCACCUGAGGUCCGCACUCGGGAGGGGCAGGGGCUGGUUCUGUUGGGCGGGUCAUCUCAGGUCCUGGGCCCCCGGCCUCCCUGGCUUUGAGGCAGCCUCGCUCCCUCUGUCUCCAAACCUUCCCCUUCUCUCAGUUUCUCAGGGCCCCUCAUGAGGAGGUUCCUGGGGGGCUUCACCCUCCCCCAGCCCCACUUCUGCACAGCCUCAGGGCAGUGCCACUCAGCUGUGGGCGGGGCUCGCCUGGGUGGUGAGAAUGGGCUGGGCACCCGCUGGGGUGUCCUCAGCCCCCCGGGCCCCAGGACUUUCCAAGGGGACAUGCUCUGUCCUCCCCCUUUGGGGUGUGUGUGGUGUCUGAUAAAGGUGACCUGCACCUCCUCACAAGAAGCCAUGGGGCCUGGAGUCCACCUGUGAAGUCCCAGGAGGAGACAGGAGCAGGUGAGAUGGGGGGGCGAUCAGCAAAGUGCAGCCUGGGCCCCUCCACAGAACAAGUGGCCAGAUUUCUUCAGCACCUAAAUGGCGAAGGGAAAAAGAGACAAGACAGAUCAUAACGUGUGGGCCUUACUGGAUCUUGAUUUGAACAAACUGUGUGUAGUCACACAUCUGAAACCACAUAUAUACACAUGCACAUAUAUAUGAAAUUUGAACACUGGCUCUACAUUUGAUAUUAAGGAAUUAUUGUCAAUGUAAAAAAAAUUAUUUGUAAAAAAAAAUACAGUAACAUGGCCUUUUUUUUUUUUUUUUUUUUUGUGGUACGCGGGCCUCUCACUGUUGUGGCCUCUCCCCUUGCGGAGCACAGGCUCCGGACGCACAGGCUCAGUGGCCAUGGCUCAUGGGCCUAGCCGCUCCGUGGCAUGUGGGAUCUUCCCGGACCGGGGCACGAACCCGUGUCCCCUGCAUUGGCAGGCAGACUCUCAACCACUGCGCCACCAGGGAAGCCCAACAUGGCCUUUUUUAGUGUAUAGGUCUAUGAGUUUUACUGCCUGUAUGGAUUUGCGUAAUCUCCAACACAGUCCCAUGGCCCGGAAGCCCCCUCCCGCUGCUCCACUGUAGGCGAGGCUGCACCCCAGGCCCUGGAAGCCACCGCUCGGUUCUCCUUCCCUGGUGUUGCGUCCUUGUGCCCAUGUCACUUAAAUGGAGCCCUGUACCACGUACGCAGCCUUUGGCGACUGGCUUCCUUCUCUCACAUGAUACAUUUAUGCCCCCUCAAGUUGCAGAAGUAUCAGUGCUUUGUUCCUUUUUAUUGCUCAGUGGUGCUCCGUGGUGGGGAUGGACCACGGUCUAUGCACUCACCCCGUUGAAAGCCAUCUGGGUUGUUUCCAGUUUGGGGCGAUUAUGAAUAGACACGCUGUAGACAUUUAUGUACAGGUUUUUUGGGUUUUUUUUAAUUUAAUUUUUAACAUCUUUAUUGGGGUAUAACUGCUUUACAAUGGUGUGUUAGUUUCUGCUUUAUAACAAAGUGAAUCAGUUAUACAUAUACAUAUGUUCCCAUAUCUCUUCCCUCUUGCGUCUCCCUCCCUCCCACCCUCCCUAUCCCACCCCUCCAGGCGGUCACAAAGCACUGAGCUGAUCUCCCUGUGCUAUGCGGCUGCUUCCCACUAGCCAUCUAUUUUACGUUUGGUAGUGUAUAUAUGUCCAUGCCUCUCUCUCACUGUGUCACAGCUUACCCUUCCCCCUCCCCAUAUCCUCAAGUCCAUUCUCUAGUAGGUCUGUGUCUUUAUUCCCAUCCUGCUCCUAGGUUCUUCAUAACCUUUUUUUUUUUUUUGCCUUUGAUUCCAUAUAUAUGUGUUAGCAUAUGGUAUUUGUUUUUCUCUUUCUGACUUACUUCACUCUGUAUGACAGACUCUAGGUCCAUCCACCUCACUAUGUACAGGUUUUUGUGUAAAGGUAGGUUUUCAUUUCCCCAGGGUAAGUACCCAGGAACGGCAAUGCUGGGUCAUUAUGUAAAGUGUCUGGUCGACUUUUUUUUUUUUAAGUAAUAAACUUUUUUAUUUUUGGCUGCAUUUGGUCUUUGUUGCUGGGCGUGGGCUUUUCUCUAGUUGCGGUGAGCGGGGGCUACUCUUCGUUGCGGUGUGCAGGCUUCUCAUUGCGGUGGCUUCUCUUGUUGCGGAGCACGGGCUCUAGGUGCACGGGCUUCAGCAGUUGUGGCACAUGGGCUC